CGGGAGCAAUGUCUGGGAAACUGCCUGAUGGAGGGGGAUAACUGCUGGAAACGGUAGCUAAUACCGCAUAACGUCGCAAGACCAAAGAGGGGGACCUUCGGGCCUCUUGCCAUCGGAUGUGCCCAGAUGGGAUUAGCUAGUAGGUGGGGUAACGGCUCACCUAGGCGACGAUCCCUAGCUGGUCUGAGAGGAUGACCAGCCACACUGGAACUGAGACACGGUCCAG
rnacentral:rRNA from 1 species